GGUCUGGAUGAUAGACAACAAGUUCUUUUUGACGCUCUAAAAUUGGAUCUGGGAUAGGCACGGCUGAUAACAAAGAUUGGGUGUAGGGAUGAAUUGGGUUAUUAAACAGUUCUUCUGUUUCUGCAACUUCUACAAUAACCCCUUUAUGGAUAACCGCAAUACGAUCUGAAAUAAAGCGAACGACUGAAAGAUCAUGGGCAAUGAAGAGAUAAGUCAAACCUUUUUCGGCUUGCAUUCUUUUAAGAAGAUUCAAGACCUGUGCGCGAACGGAAACGUCCAAAGCUGAAAUCGGUUCAUCAGCAAUAACGAAUUCAGGGUUCAUUACUAGGGCUCUAGCGAUACCGAUCCGCUGACGUUGACCUCCUGAAAAUUCAUGAGGGUAGCGCGUCAAAUGCUCUGAUAGCAAACCAACUUCGGCCAUCAUGUUCUUAAUUUUUUCUUUACGUUCUUCCUCUGUUUUAAACAGAUUAAAGUUAUAAAGACCUUCUGAAAUGAUGUAGUCAACGGUUGCCCGUUCAUUCAAACUAGCAGCGGGAUCUUGGAAAAUCAUUUGAAUUUUACGAAUGAGCUCAUUGGCUUCUGAUUUUGAUUUUCUGCCAUUAAUUACUUUCCCAUCGUAUAAAAUUUGACCUGAACUAGUAUCGUUCAAACCAAUAAUAGCACGACCAAUUGUUGUUUUACCACUCCCAGAUUCUCCAACUAAAGAAAAGGUUUCUCCUUUUUUAAUAAAGAAAUUAGCAUUUUUAACUGCAACAAAUUUUUUCUUUCCUUCUCCGAAGGAAAUUUCUAGGUCUUUUACUUCGACUAAUUUCUCAGACAUUUCCUUCCUCCUGUUGUGACAUUUUUCUUAAGAUUUUUUGAUGCAAAUCUUGAAUGACUUCUGGUUUUUGAACUUUUGGAGCCUCUGGGUGUAAAAGCCAUGUUUUGGCCCAAUGAGUCUCAGAUACGUUAAUCGCCGGAGGUGCUUUUUCAAAGUCUAAAACCAUAGCAUAUUCUGAGCGAAGUGCAAAGGCAUCUCCGAUAAUUGGUGAAUAAAGUGAUGGAGGCGUUCCUGGAAUAGCGUAAAGUUCACCAGAUUCAUCUGCCAACUGCGGUAAGCUAGACAGCAAACUCCAUGUAUAGGGGUGUCUUGGAUCAUAGAAAAUCUCUUCGACUGUUCCAAAUUCAACAAUUUCUCCUGCAUACAUGACAGCCACUUUAUCUGCAAUGCUUGCCACAACACCUAAAUCGUGCGUAAUAAAGAUAAUGGUGAAAUGAUAUUCUCGUUGAAGCGACUUCAAUAACUCAACGAUUUGAGCUUGAAUAGUCACAUCAAGGGCUGUUGUUGGCUCAUCACAGAUAAGAAUAUCU
rnacentral:antisense_RNA from 1 species